rnacentral:tRNA from 1 species
GGGCGUGCUAUCCUUGGAGAGAUAAGCUGGCUGUAAACCAGUGGCGUAAGCUGAGAAGGUUCGAAUCCUUCCAUUCCCACCA